UACAGAGGUCUCAAGCGUUGUUCGGAUUCACUGGGCGUAAAGGGUGCGUAGGCGGGUCUUUAAGUCAGGGGUGAAAUCCUGGAGCUCAACUCCAGAACUGCCUUUGAUACUGAGGAUCUUGAGUCCGGGAGAGGUGAGUGGAACUGCGAGUGUAGAGGUGAAAUUCGUAGAUAUCAGGUGGAACACCAGUGGCGAAGGCGGCCUUCUGGACGGUAACUGACGCUGAGACGCGAAAGCGUGGGGAGCAAACAGG
rnacentral:rRNA from 1 species